rnacentral:rRNA from 1 species
GACGAACGCUGGCGGCGUGCCUAAUACAUGCAAGUAGAACGCUGAAGGAGGAGCUUGCUCUUCUUGGAUGAGUUGCGAACGGGUGAGUAACGCGUAGGUAACCUGCCUGGUAGCGGGGGAUAACUAUUGGAAACGAUAGCUAAUACCGCAUAAUAGUAGAUGUUGCAUGACAUUUGCUUAAAAGGUGCAAUUGCAUCACUACCAGAUGGACCUGCGUUGUAUUAGCUAGUUGGUGAGGUAACGGCUCACCAAGGCAACGAUACAUAGCCGACCUGAGAGGGUGAUCGGCCACACUGGGACUGAGACACGGCCCAGACUCCUACGGGAGGCAGCAGUAGGGAAUCUUCGGCAAUGGACGGAAGUCUGACCGAGCAACGCCGCGUGAGUGAAGAAGGUUUUCGGAUCGUAAAGCUCUGUUGUAAGAGAAGAACGAGUGUGAGAGUGGAAAGUUCACACUGUGACGGUAUCUUACCAGAAAGGGACGGCUAACUACGUGCCAGCAGCCGCGGUAAUACGUAGGUCCCGAGCGUUGUCCGGAUUUAUUGGGCGUAAAGCGAGCGCAGGCGGUUAGAUAAGUCUGAAGUUAAAGGCUGUGGCUUAACCAUAGUACGCUUUGGAAACUGUUUAACUUGAGUGCAAGAGGGGAGAGUGGAAUUCCAUGUGUAGCGGUGAAAUGCGUAGAUAUAUGGAGGAACACCGGUGGCGAAAGCGGCUCUCUGGCUUGUAACUGACGCUGAGGCUCGAAAGCGUGGGGAGCAAACAGG